rnacentral:rRNA from 1 species
CACGUAGGGCGCAAGCGUGUCCGGAAUUAUUGGGCGUAAAGAGCUCGUAGGCGGUCUGUUACGUCUGCUGUGAAAACCCGGGGCUUAACCCUGGGCUUGCAGUGGAUACGGGCAGACUAGAGGCAGGUAGGGGAGAAUGGAAUUCCCGGUGUAGCGGUGAAAUGCGCAGAUAUCGGGAGGAACACCGGUGGCGAAGGCGGUUCUCUGGGCCUGACCUGACGCUGAGGAGCGAAAGCGUGGGGAGCGAACAGG